UAACAAGUACGGGGAAGAGAGGGUGAUC
rnacentral:piRNA from 1 species